rnacentral:rRNA from 1 species
CUACGGGGCGCUCCAGUGGGGAAUAUUGCACAAUGAGCGAAAGCUUGAUGCAGCCAUACCGCGUGUGUGAAGAAGGCCCGAGGGUUGUAAAGCACUUUCAAUUGUGAGGAAGGUUCAGUAGUUAAUACCUGCUGUUCUUGACGUUAACUUUAGAAGAAGCACCGGCUAACUCUGUGCCAGCAGCCGCGGUAAUACAGAGGGUGCAAGCGUUAUUCGGAAUUACUGGGCGUAAAGCGCGCGUAGGCGGACUAUUAAGUCAGUUGUGAAAGCCCUGGGCUCAACCUGGGAACUGCAUCUGAUACUGGUAGUCUAGAGUUUAAGAGAGGGAAGUGGAAUUCCAGGUGUAGCAGUGACGUGCGUAGAUAUCUGGAGGAACAUCAGUGGCGAAGGCGACUUCCUGGCUUAAAACUGACGCUGAGGUGCGAAAGCGUGGGUAGCGAACGGGAUUAGAUACCCCGGUAGUC